rnacentral:rRNA from 1 species
GCCUACGGGGGGCAGCAGUAGGGAAUAUUGCUCAAUGGGGAAACCCUGAAGCAGCAACGCCGCGUGGAGGAUGAAGGUUUUCGGAUUGUAAACUCCUUUUGUUAGAGAAGAUAAUGACGGUAUCUAACGAAUAAGCACCGGCUAACUCCGUGCCAGCAGCCGCGGUAAUACGGAGGGUGCAAGCGUUACUCGGAAUCACUGGGCGUAAAGAGCGCGUAGGCGGGAUAGCAAGUCAGAUGUGAAAUCCUAUGGCUUAACCAUAGAACUGCAUUUGAAACUGUUAUUCUAGAGUAUGGGAGAGGUAG